GACGAACGCUGGCGGCGUGCUUAACACAUGCAAGUCGAACGAUGAAGGAGAGCUUGCUCUCCGGAUUAGUGGCGAACGGGUGAGUAACACGUGACUAACCUGCCCCUUUCUCUGGGAUAACGCUCCGAAAGGAGUGCUAAUACCGGAUACGAACUCUGAACACAUGUUCGGAGUUGGAAAGUUUUUCGGAAAGGGAUGGGGUCGCGGCCUAUCAGCUUGUUGGUGGGGUAAUGGCUCACCAAGGCGACGACGGGUAGCCGGCCCGAGAGGGCGACCGGCCAAACUGGGACUGAGACACGGCCCAGACUCCUACGGGAGGCAGCAGUGGGGAAUAUUGCACAAUGGGCGAAAGCCUGAUGCAGCGACGCCGCGUGAGGGAUGAAGGUCUUCGGAUUGUAAACCUCUUUCAGUAGGGACGAAGCGAAAGUGACGGUACCUAAAGAAGAAGCACCGGCUAACUACGUGCCAGCCGCCGCCGUAA
rnacentral:rRNA from 1 species